rnacentral:rRNA from 1 species
UCCUACGGGAGGCAGCAGUGGGGAAUAUUGGACAAUGGGCGAAAGCCUGAUCCAGCCAUGCCGCGUGAGUGAUGAAGGCCCUAGGGUUGUAAAGCUCUUUCAACGGUGAAGAUAAUGACGGUAACCGUAGAAGAAGCCCCGGCUAACUUCGUGCCAGCAGCCGCGGUAAUA